ACUGCUGUGGCUCAGUGGGUUAAAGCCCUGGCUUGCAACGCCAGCAUCCCAUAUGGGCACUGGUUCAAGACCCAGCUGUU
rnacentral:tRNA from 1 species